UCACAGCGGCGGAUCCGUCGAUAUGCGCACCCCCCCCUGCCUCGGGCAAGCGCGCACACGCGGCACGUCUCGUUCGUGCAAUGGGAGGAGUGCGCGCGGCGCGCUUGGGCUACGGAUCUACGGAUCCUCUGUUGUGACGAGUAGUCAUGAAGUGCCCGGGCAGGGUCCGGUGGCGCUACGUGUGACGUGCGGUGGUGCGGUCAAUGCUAGAUAACAAAGGUCACACUCCAACUUCGAAUUAAGCGAGACACCAAUGCACCUAAAGGGUCGUUUGAUAAUUCUGUUUAUAUUGAUAGUAUUGGAGUACCUUGUGGAGUCCCAGAUGAAUUCAAAGCAAGAAAUCAGAUCACUGCCGGAUUCAAAUCUCUAUUUGCUUGGUGGUAAACCAUAAAUAAGAACGUUGUCUGGAUCAACUAUACCUACUACAACCAGCAAAGGCUUGUGAACUUCAUUAGAGACGGCUUCAAAGGAGUUGCCAGCCAACUUGGCAUCCUUAGUCGCAUGGCAGAAUGGAAUUGCCCUUGAUAUGCUGUUGGCCGAGAAAGUAGGAGUAUGCAAAAUGUUUGGCAACCUGUGUUGCACUUUCAUCCCAAAUAACACCGCAACUGAUGGCAGCAUCACCAAAGCUCUUCAAUAACUAACAAUGCUAUCGAAUGAACUUGCCGAGAACUCUGGUGUCUCUAAUCCUUUUGUUGACUUUUUGCAGGACUGGUUUAACAAUGGAGUGGAGUAGAAUUGCUGUAAGUACCGCUGUUUUGGUCACUUGUGGGUGCUGUCGCAUCCCUUGUAUUCGUGGCCUUUUGCAAUGUCUUAUUGAUACUGCACUUACAGAAACUAUGUAUGUUCACUUUACACUCACCCUGAUGAUAGUGCAAAUGUUUGUGAAACAGGUAUUUGAAGUCUAGGAUGAAAAGCAAUGCUAGUUCUAAUAACUGAUAUUUUUCUGUAACAUAUAAUGCAUCCAUAAGUAUUAAAAGGGUGGAGAUGUAAGGAAAAUUAAGAGGUAAUAAUUGAAGUAUGCAUAAUGUACAGAAAAAUAAUGUGCUGAAAUGUUAUGAAAUGUGGUAAGAAGUUACUUCUUGUUUUCUCAGACUCUGCUGACCGCUAUUAAGAUAACAAACAUAAUUCUAGAUACUGACAUUUGGAAAGUACCAACUCUCUGUCCAUAUAAGAAUGUGACAUCCAGUAAAGACCCCAAUAAACUAACAAAUACAGGGUCUUUGUGGGUGGAAAUAUGGGAGUGUUUAUGUACUGAGACUAUAAAAAGCCUAGCAUGUUAUGUAUAGACCGACAACCAUUGAUGCAUGCUUGUCUCUCUGAUGCAGACAAAAAUAAACACAAAUAUUACUUUG